CGUCUAGGAAGAUUAUCUAAUUGUCCAUCAUGGCUUGGGUACUUCUGCUCCUCACCAUCCUGUCUUCCUUAGGAGCAAGCAUCCAGCAGCUGCAGAGCUUGAAAGAUCCAGAUUUUGUAGCUCAAGGAGGGACCAUCACCAUGUCCUGUAGAUACAGUGGAGGAACCAUCGCUGACAACAAUUACCCACGAUGGAUCCAGCACAAGGCAGAGGAGACCCCAAGGCUCUUAAUACACAGCACCAGCAGCAGGCCUUCAGGUGUCCCAGCCCGCUUCUCUGGCUCCAGGUCAGGGAACAUCAUGUCUCUGACCAUCACAGGUGCCUUGGUGGAAGACGAGGCUACAUAUUACUGUGUAGUUUGGAUCGGGAACGGGUGCACAGUGCUUGAUUUGAAUAGAGAAGUGAGACCAAAACCCCUUGAAAGGAAGUGA